AGAGAGAACAGGUUGUUAUAAUUGGUAGUUUAGCAAAUAUUUUUUUGACUAUAGAUUAGUUUUUGUCUGUUUUGUUUCAUAAAAAAUACUCAUAUUGUUGUAUAUCAAUAAUCAAGGUGUUUUUAUUCACUUUGAUUUUGUAGGAAAAUUGGUAUUUUUUCAGAAUAUAUUUUAUGACUGUUUUUUCAUUUUACUGAGUUAUGAAUACUCAACGUGUUUUAUUAAGUAUUGUAUUAGGAUGAUAGUAAAAAUUAAUAUUUAGUUUUCUCGGACACCACCACAUCAUAUCAAUAGAUCUGUUGUGUGUGAUUCUAAAUUUGGCGAAACUCACAAAUGAUAUAAUUUGUAAACUACGUUAUGUCACACUGUAAAAGGUUUUAAAAUCAUUGUAAUAUAUUAGAAUUGUAUAUGUGUAGUUGAUUUAAAAAAAACAUUUCAUCUCUUUAUAUACACACAAUUAGGUAUAUACAGAGUAUUAUUAAAUUAGCAAAGGAAGACAACUCUUACUUCUUUGAAGCAUUUUUUCAAAAUUAUUUUGUUAAAACAAAGUAGAAUUCUGGCCUUAAAUGAAUCGCCUGGAUCUAUCUUAAAUGUCCUGAGUAAGUACAUACCUGAGGAUAAUAUUCUUGCCUAUUUUAUAUUGUUAAUUUUAUGCCUUGAUUGUAAUUUUUUUUUCUGUUAAUUUAACUGUCACAUUUUCUUCAAAAUUGUGAUUAGACAAAAAGUUAAUUUAUAAACAAAAUUAAGUGGAGCUUCAUACCAUAAACCUAUUAUUUUUAGCAUCUAUUUCUAUUGUAGUUUAUGAAAGUCAAUUUACACAGGAAUGUCUCAUGAAAUUUGGAGCAGAGGGACAUUGCCCGUUGGGUGCUUCCUUAUGUAUAAAUGUUACCAUGACAGUAUUUUUUUUGUAGAAGCAUAAUAUGUGUGUGUGUGUUGAUUUGAAAGAUUUAUCAGACAGAGAAUCAGCUGAAUUAUUAUCAUUUUAAAAUAUUGUUUGUUGCAUUGUUAAAGAGUUCAGAUGUUUUCAUGGCUCUAUUUUUUAUCAUAAAAGUAUAUGUACAUGUUUUUAUUGGCUUCAAAAUGUCUCAAACAGAGAACUGGUUGUAUUAUUUUUUAUUUUUUACAUAAAAGAAAAAAAAAUU
rnacentral:sRNA from 1 species